rnacentral:rRNA from 1 species
GAUGAACGCUGGCGGCGUGCUUAACACAUGCAAGUCGAACGGUGAAGCCAAGCUUGCUUGGUGGAUCAGUGGCGAACGGGUGAGUAACACGUGAGCAUCUGCCCUUGACUCUGGGAUAAGCGCUGGAAACGGCGUCUAAUACUGGAUAUGAGCUGUGGCCGCAUGGUCGGCAGUUGGAAAGAAUUUCGGUCAAGGAUGAGCUCGCGGCCUAUCAGCUUGUUGGUGAGGUAAUGGCUCACCAAGGCGUCGACGGGUAGCCGGCCUGAGAGGGUGACCGGCCACACUGGGACUGAGACACGGCCCAGACUCCUACGGGAGGCAGCAGUGGGGAAUAUUGCACAAUGGGCGCAAGCCUGAUGCAGCAACGCCGCGUGAGGGACGACGGCCUUCGGGUUGUAAACCUCUUUUAGCAGGGAAGAAGCGAAAGUGACGGUACCUGCAGAAAAAGCACCGGCUAACUACGUGCCAGCAGCCGCAGUAA